rnacentral:rRNA from 1 species
AUUGAACGCUGGCGGCAUGCCUUACACAUGCAAGUCGAACGGCAGCGGGGGAGAAGCUUGCUUUUCCUGCCGGCGAGUGGCGAACGGGUGAGUAAUACAUCGGAACGUGCCCUGUAGUGGGGGAUAACUAGUCGAAAGAUUAGCUAAUACCGCAUACGACCUGAGGGUGAAAGUGGGGGACCGCAAGGCCUCAUGCUAUAGGAGCGGCCGAUGUCUGAUUAGCUAGUUGGUGGGGUAAAGGCCUACCAAGGCGACGAUCAGUAGCUGGUCUGAGAGGACGAUCAGCCACACUGGGACGGCGACACGGCCCAGACUCCUACGGGAGGCAGCAGUGGGGAAUUUUGGACAAUGGGCGAAAGCCUGAUCCAGCAAUGCCGCGUGUGUGAAGAAGGCCUUCGGGUUGUAAAGCACUUUUGUCCGGAAAGAAAUGGCUCUGGUUAAUACCUGGGGUCGAUGACGGUACCGGAAGAAUAAGGACCGGCUAACUACGUGCCAGCCGCCGCGGUAA